UAGGGAAUCUUCCGCAAUGGACGCCAGUCUGAAGGAGCAACGCCGCGUGAGUGAAGAAGGAUUUCGGUUCGUUAAACCCCGUUGUUAGAGAAGAACAGCGCAUAGAGUAACUGUUAUGCGUGUGACGGUAUCUAACCAGAAAGCCACGGCUAACUACGUGCCAGCAGCCGCGGUAAUACGUAGGUGGCAAGCGUCGUCCGGAUUUAUUGGGCGUAAAGCGAGCGCAGGCGGUCAAUUAAGUCUGAUGUGAAAGCCCCCGGCUCAACCGGGGAGGGUCAUUGAAAACUGGUUGACUGGGGUGCAGAGGAGGGGGGUGGAAUUCCAUGUGUGGCGGUAAAAUGCGAAAAUAUAUGGAGGAACACCGGUGGCGAAGGCGACUCUCUGGUCUGUAACUGACGCGGAGGCUCGAAGGCGUGGGUACCAAACAGG
rnacentral:rRNA from 1 species